rnacentral:rRNA from 1 species
AUGUCUAGCACUAAACCUAGCGACAUUGAUCCAUUUGACACUGUCUACUCAAACAUUCCAGACAACACUCACAUCCUGAAACUCGACGAAAAUUGCAAACACUGCAAGGCCAGAACGUUUGAGUCUGAGACUGACGGCUUCUGCUGUCGCAAUGGCCAGAUCCAGCUUAAGCAACCGGAACCAAUCCCGGAGCUUAUGAGGCUAUGGUCCAGCAUGGAUGCAGAUUCUAGACAUUUUCGGGAGAACAUACGGUUCUUCAACGGGCAUUUCGCCUUCACAACCCUUGGUGUCAGCCUUGAUGAAAACUACACGAACAUGAAGUCUGGGGUGUACACAGUCCGAGCA